UGGGGAAUAUUGCACAAUGGGCGAAAGCCUGAUGCAGCAACGCCGCGUGAGUGAUGAAGGUCUUCGGAUUGUAAAGCUCUGUCUUUUGGGACGAUAAUGACGGUACCAAAGGAGGAAGCCACGGCUAACUACGUGCCAGCAGCCGCGGUAAUACGUAGGUGGCGAGCGUUGUCCGGAUUUACUGGGGCGUAAAGGGUGCGUAGGCGGAUGUUUAAGUGAGAUGUGAAAUGCCCGGGCUUAACUUGGGUGCUGCAU
rnacentral:rRNA from 1 species